rnacentral:rRNA from 1 species
CCUACGUGAGGCAGCAGUAGGGAAUCUUCCACAAUGGGCGAAAGCCUGAUGCAGCAACGCCGCGUGGGUGAUGAAGGUCUUCGGAUCGUAAAACCCUGUUGUUAGAGAAGAAAGUGCGUGAGAGUAACUGUUCACGUUUCGACGGUAUCUAUCCAGAAAGCCACGGCUAACUACGUGCCAGCAGCCGCGGUAAUACGUAGGUGGCAAGCGUGAUCCGGAUUUAUUGGGCGUAAAGGGAACGCAGGCGGUCUGUUAAGUCUGAUGUGAAAGCCUUCGGCUUAACCGGAGUAGUGCAUUGGAAACUGGGAGACUUGAGUGCAGAAGAGGAAGGUGGAACUCCAGGUGUAGCGGUGAAAUGCGUAGAUAUAUAGAAGAACACCAAUGGCGAAGGCGGCUCUCUAGACUGUAACUGACGCUGAUGUUCGAAAGCGUGGGUAGCAAACAGGAUUAGAUACCCCAGUAGUC